CGGAGUGAGCCGGGAGCAGAGUGAAGACUUAAGGACUUCGGCUCAACGGGCUUAGGCGGAAACGGGCGAGGCGAGGAAGGUGUCCCCCGCUUUUCGAACGUUCGCUUUACGAAACCUCACUGUUACGAAAGACCUACAUUAGUACCCUGUUUUCGCUAACAGGUGUUUUCACUAUUACGAAAAAAGCAGCGCGUGAAAAAAAUCAGCGCACACCCCGAGCAGCCGCUCUCUCCCAGAUUCAGAACUGCAUUCUAGCCAGCAUUGCUUAAACUCGUGCCUGUGAGCAGCCGUUUGCAAGAUGAGGAAAGAACUCGUAAGGAUGUUACACUUAGAGUAAAACAUAAUUAAGCGUUUUGAUCGUGGUGAACGAAGAAAGGUCUAAGUGAGUUUGGCUUGUGGAAGCUGACGAAGAUGAUGUUGAAGAGGUUUUGGCAUCCCAUGACCAAGAACUGAUAGAUGAAGAGCUGAUGCAAUUGGAAGAGGAAAGGAUAACAAUCGAAACCGUCUGAGUAAUGAUAAAAAAAAAGACAACUUGCAAAUUACUUGUCAGUCUUUGAAACAAUAAACCAAGAAUUGUCAACUUUAUUCGAGUUAAGCAGUGGUCCCCAACCAUCAGUGACCCAAGACGUGCAAAGGAAUAGGUCCGUGACCCAUUUGUGAAUGUCCCCGGUGAAUCAUUCAUGUCAGCGCGGGGAAAAGAUUAACUCCUCGAGCUUGCAAAUGACGGUGGGCUGAAAAGUUUGUUUGACAUAACAUCUCUGCUGGCAUUCUAGAUCAAAUUCAAGGCUGAAUAUCCUGAGAUAGCCACGAAAGCACUGAAAAUGUUGCUUCCAUUUCCAACAUAUUUCUGUAAAGCGGAGUUCUCGGCAAAGAAUGCAAUGAAAACUAAAUUGCAGAAUAGAUUGGACAUAAGGAACCCCCUUCGAGUAUCACUGUCUCCCAUCACCCCUCGGAUGGGACCGUCUUGUUGCAGGAGAACAAGCCCAGGGCUCCCACUGAUUCAGCGAUAUUGGUGUGUUGCAAUGAUCUUAAAUGUUCAUACGAGGAAAAUAUGCGCUGUGUGUUUAAUAUCCAAACGUUACUUAAAAUGUUAUGAUGCUAUUGACUUAAUUGACAUCAAUAUUCAUGCAAGGAAAAUAUGCACUGUGUGUUUAAUAUUAAAUUCAU